rnacentral:rRNA from 1 species
CCCUGCCAUUUGUACACACCGCCCGUCGCUCCUACCGAUUGGAUGGUCCGGUGAAAUCUUCGGACCUGACCCAGACCCGAGGCAACUCGACUGGGUCGGGGAAGUUGAUUAAACCUUAUCAUCUAGAGGAAGGA